ACGGGAGGCAGCAGUGGGGAAUGUUGCACAAUGGGGGAAACCCUGAUGCAGCGACGCCGCGUGAGCGAAGAAGUAUCUCGGUAUGUAAACUUCUAUCAGCAGGGAAGAUAAUGACGGUACCUGACUAAGAAGCCCCGGCUAACUACGUGCCAGCAGCCGCGGUAAUACGUAGGGGGCAAGCGUUAUCCGGAUUUACUGGGUGUAAAGGGAGCGUAGACGGAGAAGUAAGUCUGAUGUGAAAGGCAUGGGCUCAACCUGUGGACUGCAUUGGAAACUAUUUUUCUUGAGUGCCGGAGGGGUAAGCGGAAUUCCUAGUGUAGCGGUGAAAUGCGUAGAUAUUAGGAGGAACACCAGUGGCGAAGGCGGCUUACUGGACUGUAACUGACGUUGAGGCUCGAAAGCGUGGGGAGCAAACAGGAUUAGAUACCCUGGUA
rnacentral:rRNA from 1 species